GUGGGGAAUAUUGCACAAUGGGCGAAAGCCUGAUGCAGCGACGCCGCGUGAGGGAUGACGGCCUUCGGGUUGUAAACCUCUUUCAGUAGGGAAGAAGCGAAAGUGACGGUACCUGCAGAAGAAGCGCCGGCUAACUACGUGCCAGCAGCCGCGGUAAUACGUAGGGCGCAAGCGUUAUCCGGAUUUAUUGGGCGUAAAGAGCUCGUAGGCGGUUUGUCGCGUCUGCCGUGAAAGUCCGAGGCUCAACCUCGGAUCUGCGGUGGGUACGGGCAGACUAGAGUGAUGUAGGGGAGACUGGAAUUCCUGGUGUAGCGGUGAAAUGCGCAGAUAUCAGGAGGAACACCGAUGGCGAAGGCAGGUCUCUGGGCAUUUACUGACGCUGAGGAGCGAAAGCAUGGGGAGCGAACAGGAUUAGAAACCCCAGUAGUCC
rnacentral:rRNA from 1 species